rnacentral:rRNA from 1 species
AGAGUGAACGCUGGCGGUAGGCCUAACACAUGCAAGUCGAACGGCAGCACGGUAAGAGCUUGCUCUUAUGGGUGGCGAGUGGCGGACGGGUGAGGAAUACAUCGGAAUCUACCUUUUGGUGGGGGAUAACGUAGGGAAACUUACGCUAAUACCGCAUACGCCCUUCGGGGGAAAGCCGGGGACCAGCAAUGGCCUGGUGCUGAUAGAUGAGCCGAUGUCGGAUUAGCUAGUUGUGAGGUAAUGGCUCACCAAGGCGACGAUCCGUAGCUGGUCUGAGAGGAUGAUCAGCCACACUGGAACUGAGACACGGUCCAGACUCCUACGGGAGGCAGCAGUGGGGAAUAUUGGACAAUGGGCGCAAAGCCUGAUCCAGCCAUACCGCUGGGUGAAGAAGGCCUUCGGUUGUAAAGCCCUUUGUUGGAAAGAAAGCAUUCGUAAUACCGGUGUUCGUGACGGUACCAAACGAAUAAAGACAACCGGCUAAACUUCGUCGUACCAGCAAGCCGAA